GAUUCGAGUUCAACUUAUUUCGUGGCCUACUGCAGUAUCUUCGUGCCAAAAUUGCAUCCUGGCAACGGAGAGACGAGGGCGUACCUUGAGCGGACAAACCCUGCUGUAACAAAUAUGGAGAAUAUUUGAUCAACGGUCAGCAGGCGCGCUGGCGCCUUAUCUUCAUGGGAAAAGACAUUUCUAGCGAUACACGCCUGCUUCUGAAUGGACAGCUCCGCAAUGUUCUUUGGUCCCCUAGGAGACAUCUUCGGAUCGCUUCGAGUUAGCGACGGACGUCUGGAAAGCUGUCUAAUGGAAGAAAUAGGUUGCUGCUCAGAGAAUAACAACGGAUUGAAAGGACGAAGGGAGUUAGUGAGCGAGGAUGGUCUAGUUUCGCUCGUGCUGAGGGAAGAAGCAGCUGCAAGAUGAAGCUAGAAUUGAGAGCGUACCUUGUAUGCAGAACACAGCUUUAACUGUAAAGAUUAGCUUAAUGUGUUAGCCUAACAUGAACUUUUUUACGUUUCCUUUGAUCAGCCUUUAUUCCUGGAGCGGUUGGAAAGAAAAGAAAUCGUUCAAAUAGACAGAUAACAUACCAGAGGGGUUUGUCCGUUGUAGGAGUACAGUUUGCUCAUUUAGCGGACUAACUCCUCUGACAUGAUACUAAUACGUCUAUUUGGCCCAUUUCUCCUCUUCCAGCCGCUUUUGAUAGUCGCAGCUUAUCAAUUGAUCAUGUAUUUACUGAUAGCAUCUACGAAAAUUAUCAUCCCUUCAUAUUACCUAGAUGAGUAAAAUAUACAUUAGCUGCUUUCUAUACACCGUGUCAUGUAUGUAUAUGUUUGAAAGGAAUACGCCUACCUUGUGAAAUGUGUCGCGCAAAAUUGAACAUCAUAAUCAAAUCACUGGUGAUUGUGUAAUAAUAGACUUUCAGAAAAAAAACACCCUGACUACUACUGAGAUUUUAAGGCAACGUAUAAAUACUCUUUCAAGCAGAGACUGAGUAUAAAUACUCCUUCAGGCAGAGGGACCAUUCUCCUUCAUGUUCCUCUAUCAGGAAGAGUAUAAAUACUCUUUUUAGGCACAGGGUCCAUCCUCCUUUGUGCAGAGUAUUCAUCCUCUAUCAGAGUAUAAAUACUCUUCCCUAUCAGGCAGAGUAUAAAUACUCCUUCAGGCAGAGGGACCAUUCUCCUUCAUGUAGAGUAUUCAUCCUCUAUCAGGCAGAGUAUAAAUACUCUUUCAGGCACAUGGUCCGUCCUCCUUGAUGCAGAGUAUUCAUCCUCUAUCAGAGUAUAAAUACUCUACCCUAUCAGGCAGAGUAUAAAUACUCCUUCAGGCAGAGUAUAAAUACUCUUUCGGACAGAGUAUCCAUCCUCCUUUAUGCAGAGUAUUUAUACUCUAUCAGAGUAUAUAUCGUCCUCCAGUCGGAGUAUAUAUCCUCCAAGCUGCUGGACAAAACUCUAAUUCAUUAUAUAUCCUCGGUUAGGCUGGAUUAUUAUUGAUUUGUUUGAGUAUAUAUACUCAUCUAGUUGUGAUUUUUUUAAGAAAGUUUCUUAAAAAUGCAAAUACCAAGUCAUGAAGGCUGCAUUUUGAUAAAAAGAAAGGCUUAAUUUUUGUGUUUUGAAGCCGAAAAAAGGGAACAAAAUGGAUUUUCCCUUA